CACGUAGGGUGCGAGCGUUGUCCGGAAUUAUUGGGCGUAAAGAGCUCGUAGGCGGUGUGUCGCGUCGGCCGUGAAAACCUGCAGCUUAACUGUGGGCUUGCGGUCGAUACGGGCAUCACUGGAGUUCGGCAGGGGAGACUGGAAUUCCUGGUGUAGCGGUGAAAUGCGUAGAUAUCGGGAGGAACACCAGUGGCGAAGGCGACUACCUGGCCCAUUCUUGACGCUGAGGCGCGAAAGCUAGGGGAGCGAACGGG
rnacentral:rRNA from 1 species